rnacentral:rRNA from 1 species
AGUGAACGCUGGCGGUAGGCCUAACACAUGCAAGUCGAACGGCAGCACAGUAAGAGCUUGCUCUUACGGGUGGCGAGUGGCGGACGGGUGAGGAAUACAUCGGUAUCUACUUUUUCGUGGGGGAUAACGUAGGGAAACUUACGCUAAUACCGCAUACGACCUACGGGUGAAAGCAUGGGAUCUUCGGACCUUGCGCGAUUGAAUGAGGCGAUGUCGGAUUAGCUAGUUGGCGGGGUAAAGGCCCACCAAGGCGACGAUCCGUAGCUGGUCUGAGAGGAUGAUCAGCCACACUGGAACUGAGACACGGUCCAGACUCCUACGGGAGGCAGCAGUGGGGAAUAUUGGACAAUGGGCGCAAGCCUGAUCCAGCCAUGCCGCGUGGGUGAAGAAGGUCUUCGGGUUGUAAAGCCCUUUUGUUGGGAAAGAAAAGCAGCAGGUUAAUACCCCGCUGUUCUGACGUUACCAAAAGAAUAAGCACCGGCUAACUUCGUG